rnacentral:misc_RNA from 1 species
ACCACGAUGUAUCAGGAGAGGUGGGGAAACGCAGUAGGGCGCCCCCUCUGAAAACUGGGCCAACUUUCGGGUGAUGUGUUUUUGAUAAAUCGUGUUGCGAAAUGGUGAAGUGUUUCGUGGUUGGAUGUUCUACGGGAUACAAAUCAGCAAAAGAAAAUGAUGCUAAGGUAUUUAAACCACCCAAAGAAGAAAAAGGCAAUUCAUUUUAUGGGGAAAGAAUCUUGAAAGAAGUGACAGAAAAUUUUCAAGAAAAGAUCAUGUUUGUUCUAGACAUUUUAAAGAAGAAAUUCAUCAUCAAGAACUCUGUAAAUGGUGGUGCCCCAUUGAGUCGUUGGAAAUUGAGAGAUGAUGCCAUACCAACUCUUGUUCUUGGUUACAAAGAUGGGGUAGCCCCAAACAAAAAGUAUCGGAAAAAAACCACCUCUCCAUUUUCAAAUAAUGGAUGCCAUAAACAACCAGAAGAGAAAAUUGAUGGUCGAACAACAUCUGAUGUGAACAGUGCUGAAGUCACUCUUGCUGGAGAGAAUGGUCUGGAACACACAACCCAAGGAACAAGAGGUGAAAAUUUAAAAAAAAAACUAAAGCUAAACCUGUAUCAAGGAAAAUGCUAAUUUCAGAUCCCGUUUCUGCCUAAGACUGUUAUCUGGUAAAGGUAAUAUGUUUUACUUGUGUGAACAUCUCGAAAAGAUUCACUUGGAGUAUAUGUCAAGGCAAACAGUAAUUGAAAGAAUGUCCGCAAGAAAGAAGAAAACUGAAAUGAAAUCAAAAGUGCUGAAACAAAAAAUUCAACGGAAAGAACUUGUUGUCAAGUUUCUUGGGCUUAACGACCAGGUAUAUAUAUCAUGCUCCCAAUUACUAUUCCCCUCUAUGACGAGUACGUUUGUUAGAUUCCCAAAUGUUAACUAUUUUUCUACCAAUGACCAAUAAUAACGACAACUCUACUUAUUUUUUU